AAAAUAAACUCCUUCAGAGAGGGAUUUUGUUUUUUUUUUUCUACCUUAAUUUAAUUUAAUGUGCUAUGAUGAUAUAUUCCUUUUUUUAUUUUUAUAGUUUGGGGUUUUUGAUCCAGAUAAUGAUUAGAUCUUUUAAGGCUUUUUUUUCUUUUUCUUUUUAAAGAAAAAGAAAAUUUAAUUCUUAGUUUUGAUGAUGGCUAUCAUAAUCAUUGGUAUCAUUAUGGUUCCAGGAGUGCCAUGGAGUGAGGAGG
rnacentral:misc_RNA from 1 species